GUGCAGCAGUCGCGAAUCCUUCGCAAUGCGGGAAACCGCGACGAGGGACUCCCAGUGCCUACGCUCAGCGUAGGCUGUUCCCGAGCCUAGAAAGCUCGGGGAGUAAGGGCUGGGUAAGACGGGUGCCAGCCGCCGCGGUAAUACCCGCAGCCCGAGUGGUGGCCACUAUUAUUGGGCCUAAAGCGUCCGUAGCCGGCCCGGUAAAUGCCUGGGUAAAUCGUGAGGCCUAACCUCACGAAUUCCGGGUAGACUGCCGGGCUAGGGACCGGAGGAGGGAGAGGGGUACUCCAGGGGUAGGGGUGAAAUCCUGUAAUCCCUGGAGGACCACCGGUGGCGAAGGCGCUCUCCUAGGACGGGUCCGACGGUGAGGGACGAAAGCCAGGGGAGCGAACCGGAUUAGAUACCCGCGUAGU
rnacentral:rRNA from 1 species